GGAUUAAGAGCUUGCUCUUAUGAAGUUAGCGGCGGACGGGUGAGUAACACGUGGGUAACCUGCCCAUAAGACUGGGAUAACUCCGGGAAACCGGGGCUAAUACCGGAUAACAUUUUGAACCGCAUGGUUCGAAAUUGAAAGGCGGCUUCGGCUGUCACUUAUGGAUGGACCCGCGUCGCAUUAGCUAGUUGGUGAGGUAACGGCUCACCAAGGCAACGAUGCGUAGCCGACCUGAGAGGGUGAUCGGCCACACUGGGACUGAGACACGGCCCAGACUCCUACGGGAGGCAGCAGUAGGGAAUCUUCCGCAAUGGACGAAAGUCUGACGGAGCAACGCCGCGUGAGUGAUGAAGGCUUUCGGGUCGUAAAACUCUGUUGUUAGGGAAGAACAAGUGCUAGUUGAAUAAGCUGGCACCUUGACGGUACCUAACCAGAAAGCCACGGCUAACUACGUGCCAGCAGCCGCGGUAAUACGUAGGUGGCAAGCGUUAUCCGGAAUUAUUGGGCGUAAAGCGCGCGCAGGUGGUUUCUUAAGUCUGAUGUGAAAGCCCACGGCUCAACCGUGGAGGGUCAUUGGAAACUGGGAGACUUGAGUGCAGAAGAGGAAAGUGGAAUUCCAUGUGUAGCGGUGAAAUGCGUA
rnacentral:rRNA from 1 species